rnacentral:misc_RNA from 1 species
UUGACUUAUUAUGAUUUGACUCAGAAUAUCGCUAAAAAUUAUAGAAGGGUUUGGUACCUCCGGCGGGCGCCUUUACAGGCUACAGCUCCGCCCUGGAGCUGCCCGCCGAAGCAUUUAUAAUUUAGGUAAGGUUCACAGUGGGUUUGGAGUUUUACAACUCAGUAAUGAUCCCUCCGCUGGUUCACCAACGGAGA